CUCUCUUAUAAUGCGCAGUAAGGGAGGCAGGUAGUCAGAUGGAUCUUUCAUAAAUAAAUAAAGAUAAAUAGAUAGAUUGAAUAAUAUCGAAUGGGGCUACUCAACACAAACUAUCCUAUUAAGAUUCUUUUUCUCAUUAAGAAUUAAAUGCCCAAGAUUUCAAUGUUGAUAGAAAAGAUACGCUAAUAUAUGUACAUAAUGUGUAGUGUGGGAGGCAGGUGGCCGGAUGAAUGUUUCAUAAAUAAAGAUAGAUUGCGUAGAAUCUUUUUUGCUAUUUGUGUUACUACUUUAAAAACGAACGAGUUUGCAAUGAGCAAAACUCUGUGUCUGUGCACAUAUAGCUAGUUUUAAUGAUCAUGGAAAAUUUACAGGAACAUAAAACUGCAAGCAUGUGCCUGAUAAGGGACCUAAAUCAUGAAAUGGAUUCAUAUGCCGCACAAGGGACCUUAUCCAGAAGUGUGAGUGAUAGUUUGAUUAUUGUUACAAUAAGCAGCCCACAUCAUACGAAUCACACACCACAACAUUACACAGGAAGAACAUGCAUGAAAUCAUGCACACUUGCUCCUGAAGGUGAAUGUGUUGAUCGCUCCUGAAAGUGGGAUGGCGGAAGAUGGCUGCAACGAUUGUAGAGCGUGUGCAUGCAAUGCGAGUAGGGUAUACGCUCGACUGAUUGGUGUUCGCGGCUUGCCGGCGGGGCUUGGUGAGACCACCAGAUUAGAUGAUAUGUGUUCAUGCGAGGUCAGGGCACAUCAUCAAGUUUGUAGGUGCAGUGACUAUGCUUGCCAUGACGAUGGCUUUGGAUUGAUCCAUGUAUUUGUUUUAUCGGGUUCUGCUGAAUAAUAUAAUAAAAUGGUUGUGUUCAUCGCU